AAAUGAUUCAUAGUCACAACAGUAAUACGUCGUAAAUUACCAAUUGCAAAAACUUUAAAUAUGUGGCAUUCAUAUAUUGGUCAAAAUUUUCCACUUGCCUCCGCGUAAAACAAAACCACGAAAUUUUCCUAGGAAUUAGAGGCAAAAGUUAUGGUGCAUAAGCCAUAACUUAUGCACCAUGCAUAAGAUCUUCACAACCAUCAGAUCAAUUGGACACUUGUAAUAAUCCUACGGUCUUCAGCUCAGACCCCAUGAUGACAGUCAGUCAUACACUAUUUUUAGAGUCUUUUUAGUUAAGUUUUUGAUCUAUUUUUAUUAGUUUAGUAUUUAAUUUAAAAUCAUUUUAAAUAGAUAAUCGUUUUUAAUUUAUUGAGUCAAGGAGUAUAUUAUUAUCAUCUAUUAGUACUACUAAUGGUGGCUAAAUGACCAACAAAAAGAGCCACAACGUGGCAGACCAUUGAAGAAAAGAAAAUGUGUUUCAUUGGCUUUGAAAUAGAGAAAAACUAGCAUGUCUCCUUACAUAUAUAUUCAAGCAACGUGAUGCAUAAGUGAGAAAGGAGAAAAUAAUGAAAUGGGCCUUUGACCCAAAUUUGCCUUGGUUGACCCGAGAAUAAAAAGAAGGAUUGGCAAUUGUUAUAAAAGGGUGCACAGUACAAGAGAAGAGCCAUUCACGUUUCGGCAGAAAGGAAUCACGGUUUUGGAGGGUAGGAACCAGGAAACGGAAGCUGCGCAUACACAAAGAAAUAGAAGGCACAAGGAUCGAAGAAAAGCAAAACAUCUAUGUUUGUAAUUUCUUUUAUUCGUGUUGUUUAUUCAUUUGCUAUGUCUAGCUAAUUUCUUUGAUUAAGUCAAGAUGAAUCUAUUGUAUCUGUGAACCCACGUAGCUUUUGACUCUAUUGUUAUCAAUAUAAUUCAG
rnacentral:lncRNA from 1 species